rnacentral:rRNA from 1 species
UACGGGGGGGGCAAGCGUUGUUCGGAAUUACUGGGCGUAAAGGGCUCGUAGGCGGCCAACUAAGUCAGACGUGAAAUCCCUCGGCUUAACCGGGGAACUGCGUCUGAUACUGGAUGGCUUGAGGUUGGGAGUGGGAUGCGGAAUUCCAGGUGUAGCGGUGAAAUGCGUAGAUAUCUGGAGGAACACCGGUGGCGAAGGCGGCAUCCUGGACCAAUUCUGACGCUGAGGAGCGAAAGCCAGGGGAGCAAACGGG